rnacentral:rRNA from 1 species
UAGGGAAUCUUCCGCAAUGGACGAAAGUCUGACGGAGCAACGCCGCGGGAGUGAAGAAGGAUGUCGGUUCGUAAAACUCGGUUGUUAGGGAAGAAAAAAUGUAUAGGAACGAGAUACAAAAGAGACGGUACCGAACGAGAAAGCAACGGCGAACGACGUGCAAGCAGCCGCGGUAAUACGUAGGUGGCAAGCGUUGUCCGGAAUUAUUGGGCGUAAAGCGCGCGCAGGUGGUUUAGAAAGUCUGAUGUGAAAGCCCACGGCUCAACCGUGGAGGGUCAUUGGAAACUAAUAAACUUGAGUGCAGGAGAGAAAAGUGGAAUUCCUAGUGUAGCGAUGAAAUGCGUAGAGAUUAGGAGGAACACCGGUGGCGAAAGCGGCUUUUUGGCCUGCAACUGACACUGAGGCGCGAAAGCGUGGGGAGCAAACAGG